UUGUUUUUUAAUUAAAAACUAGAAUGAAAGGUUAUACAUUCAAAUUUCUUUAUUAAUUUUUUAUAAAAUAAUUUAUAUUAAAUAUAAAAAUAUAUUUUUAAAUAAAAAAGACGACAAGACCCUAUUAAAUUUAACUUAUAGUUUAGCUGGGGAAGCUUUUUAAAUAAAAUUUUAUUAAAAUAUUUUAAAAUAAUUUUUUAAUUAAAAUUAAAACAAAUUACUAUAGGGAUAACAGCGUUAUAUUUUUUAAAAGUUCCUAUUUAAAAAAAUGAUUGCGACCUCGAUGUUGAAUUAUAUUUUCUAUAUUAAUGCAAUAAUUAUAAAAGUAGAUCUGUUCGAUCUUUAAAAUAUUACAUGAUUUGAGUUCAAACCGGUGUAAACCAGGUUGGUUUCUAUCUUUUUAUAUCUAUAUAUUUUUCAAGUACGAAAGGAAAAAAAAAUUUUUAUUUUAAUUAUUUAGCAAAUUAAAAUGCAUUAGAUUUAGAAUCUAAAUAAACUAAU
rnacentral:rRNA from 1 species